UACGUAGGGUGCAAGCGUUAAUCGGAAUUACUGGGCGUAAAGCGUGCGCAGGCGGUUAUUCAAGACAGAUGUGAAAUCCCCGGGCUCAACCUGGGAACUGCAUUUGUGACUGCACGGCUAGAGUGUGUCAGAGGGGGGUAGAAUUCCACGUGUAGCAGUGAAAUGCGUAGAUAUGUGGAGGAAUACCGAUGGCGAAGGCAGCCCCCUGGGAUAACACUGACGCUCAUGCACGAAAGCGUGGGGAGCAAACAGG
rnacentral:rRNA from 1 species